ACCUCUUCUUGGCCUUUUGGCUAAGACCAAGUGUGUAGUAUCUGUUCUUACCAGUUUAAUAUCUAAUACUUCCUAUAUCCAAGAACACCAGUCGUAUUCAGAACCAUGUUCAGAAUCCUUGGCUCUGAUCAAUUAAAUCAUUUUGAAACCUGAACGAGGGCACAUUGCAAUUCAGUACCACCUCAUCAUAC